rnacentral:rRNA from 1 species
GACGAACGCUGGCGGCGUGCCUAAUACAUGCAAGUCGAGCGAGCAAUUUUAGCAGAAUACCUUCGGGUAGGAAGCUAAGAGCGCGAGCGGCGGAUGGGUGAGUAACACGGGGGCAACCUACCCUUUAGCUGGGGAUACCACUUGGAAACAGGUGCUAAUACCGAAUAAGAAGCAAGAGCGCAUGCUCAAGCUAUGAAAGGCGGCUUUAAGCUGUCACUAAAGGAUGGGCCCGCGGUGCAUUAGCUAGUUGGUAAGGUAACGGCUUACCAAGGCGAUGAUGCAUAGCCGAGUUGAGAGACUGAACGGCCACAUUGGGACUGAGACAUGGCCCAAACUCCUACGGGAGGCAGCAGUAGGGAAUCUUCCACAAUGGACGCAAGUCUGAUGGAGCAACGCCGCGUGAGUGAAGAAGGUUUUCGGAUCGUAAAGCUCUGUUGUUGGUGAAGAAGGAUAAGGAUAGUAACUGAUUCAUAUUUGACGGUGAUCAACCAGAAAGUCACGGCUAACUACGUGCCAGCAGCAGCCGCGG